rnacentral:rRNA from 1 species
CAGAUCGUAGCUUGCUACCCGCUGACGAGCGGCGGACGGGUGAGUAAUGCAUAGGAAUCUGCCCGAUAGUGGGGGAUAACCUGGGGAAACCCAGGCUAAUACCGCAUACGUCCUACGGGAGAAAGGGGGCUUCGGCUCCCGCUAUUGGAUGAGCCUAUGUCGGAUUAGCUAGUUGGUGAGGUAAUGGCUCACCAAGGCAACGAUCCGUAGCUGGUCUGAGAGGAUGAUCAGCCACAUCGGGACUGAGACACGGCCCGAACUCCUACGGGAGGCAGCAGUGGGGAAUAUUGGACAAUGGGGGCAACCCUGAUCCAGCCAUGCCGCGUGUGUGAAGAAGGCCCUCGGGUUGUAAAGCACUUUCAGCGAGGAAGAACGCCUAUCGGUUAAUACCCGGUAGGAAAGACAUCACUCGCAGAAGAAGCACCGGCUAACUCCGUGCCAGCAGCCGCGGUAAUACGGAGGGUGCAAGCGUUAAUCGGAAUUACUGGGCGUAAAGCGCGCGUAGGUGGCUUGAUAAGCCGGUUGUGAAAGCCCCGGGCUCAACCUGGGAACGGCAUCCGGAACAGU